GAGGGGGGGCGGCCUACACAUGCAGUCGAACGAGACCUUCGGGUCUAGUGGCGCACGGGUGCGUAACGCGUGGGAAUCUGCCCUUGGGUUCGGAAUAACUCAGAGAAAUUUGAGCUAAUACCGGAUGAUGUCGUAAGACCAAAGAUUUAUCGCCCAAGGAUGAGCCCGCGUAGGAUUAGCUAGUUGGUGAGGUAAAGGCUCACCAAGGCGACGAUCCUUAGCUGGUCUGAGAGGAUGAUCAGCCACACUGGGACUGAGACACGGCCCAGACUCCUACGGGAGGCAGCAGUGGGGAAUAUUGGACAAUGGGCGAAAGCCUGAUCCAGCAAUGCCGCGUGAGUGAUGAAGGCCUUAGGGUUGUAAAGCUCUUUUACCCGGGAUGAUAAUGACAGUACCGGGAGAAUAAGCUCCGGCUAACUUCGUGCCAGCAGCCGCGGUAAUACGAGGGGAGCUAGCGUUAUUCGGAAUUACUGGGCGUAAAGCGCACGUAGGCGGCUUUGUAAGUUAGAGGUGAAAGCCCAGAGCUCAACUCUGGAAUUGCCUUUAAGACUGCAUCGCUUGAAUCCAGGAGAGGUGAGUGGAAUUCCGAGUGUAGAGGUGAAAUUCGUAGAUAUUCGGAAGAACACCAGUGGCGAAGGCGGCUCACUGGACUGGGUAUUGACGCUGAGGUGCGAAAGCGUGGGGAGCAAACAGGGAUUAGAUACCCUGGUAGUCCACGCCGUAAACGAUGAUAACUAGCUGUCCGGGCACUUGGUGCUUGGGUGGCGCAGCUAACGCAUUAAGUUAUCCGCCUGGGGAGUACGGUCGCAAGAUUAAAACUCAAGGAAUUUGACGGGGGCCUGCACAAGCGGUGGGAGCAUGGUGGUUUAAAUUCGAAGCAACGCGCAGAACCUUUACCCAGCGUUUGGACAUGUCCCGGACGAUUUCCCAGAGAUGGGAUUCUUCUUCCCUUUCGGGGACUGCACACAGGUGCUGCAUGGCUGUCGGUCAGCUUCGGUGUCGUGGGAGAAUGGUUGGUAAGUUCCCGGCACAGAGCGCAGCCCUCGACCUUAGGUUACCAUCAAUUAGUUGGUACCUCUUAAUGGCAAUG
rnacentral:rRNA from 1 species